CUUAUGUUCAGGCCCUUCAUGGCAUUGGUUGCCAUAUUGCUGUCGAUACUGGARCCAAGCAGCCUCCAAAACCCAUUGAUUUAGACACACAGCUUUAAAUCCAGGAUUGUCCGUAAUACAGUCUUUCAGGUGUUGAACUGCUAUAUGAAUCAGACGACGAAUCUCCUUCUGAAGAAGAUAUUUCACGUGUUGGCUGAAAUUGAUAGCCUUCUGUACCGAAGUUUUCCACUUCAAGACUUAUAAAUUCUUCAGAACCAUCGCUGGAUGAGACUGUGUCACUAGAAUUUCUUUCCUCGGAAGAAGAACUCAUUAUUUUUGUGUUUUCCUUCUUUGUUUUGAACUUUUUUCUCAUCACUGAUAUGAUCGAAGCACGCAGUGACGUCACACAGGGCAUCUGCUGACCUAUUGCAGGCUCAGUGUUGUAUUCAAGAUGGCGGCCUCCUGGGAUUCAAUUUAUCGCUACUUUCAGGCAGGAUUUCUCGAAAGCUACGAAAGAGAGGGACUUAAGACCUUAAGAAUAAGUUGAGUAUAAUAUAAACUUUUAUUCCACAAGCGCUUCUCUCAAGGUGGUGUUCCCCUUUAAUACUUAUUUUUAAAUUACAUAUGAAGAGUAGAUGGGAUGGGAGGGAGUUUUAUAAUGUAUAAAAAGGAAGAUAGGUGUCCUCUAUUAGUUCACAAACAGUUAUUGUAAACAGUUAUAAAACUAUAAACAGUUAUUGUAAGAGAAUUUCGACACGUAAAUAAAGUAGGAUUCAGAGGGUAUCCACGAGUUUGCCAUGCGGCAGUUUGUUUAGAUAGGUUUGCCUAUUGAAUAUAUGUAAAAAUUACCUGUAUAAAAGGAUCUAAAUCAA